rnacentral:lncRNA from 1 species
UGGGCAAAGUUUCACACAAGAUUCCAUUGGCAACUGUUGGAGUAAACUUGUCCACUUCUGCAAUUGCCAAUUGCAACCAGAAACUGCCACGUCCUGAUAUUACUGUGACAAAAACUGAGCGGUGCCGGGGUGGUGAUUCUCAUAGUGUAAAUAUUGUCAUUGAUGAUGGUGGUGACCUUGAGCCAAUAUCAGGAGACUCUGGUCAGAAAUCGGGUUUGAAGAUUGAUAUAAUUACAAUAAGAGAGAGAAUAAAGAGGAGGAAACUCGAAAGGAUAACAAGUAAGAAGCCUACAGAAACCAUGGACGAGGAGAUAGUAGAUGGUGAGGCUUGGAUAGAGAGAGAGCUGGAAAGGAUAUCGAGUUAGUUUCUACUCAUUCAGAGGAGCGAAGAGGGUUGAAUAAUCGGAAUAAAGGAAGUCGGCUACUUGGUUUAGCUAGAAAUGCAGCUUCAGAAAGAUUCAUUGGACAAUUCCCAUUCAUUCUAUAUUUUCGCGCGUGUAGCGAACUGCAUUAUGCUUCUUGAUCCAUAUAUUGGUGUACAAUAUAGUGUCAAGCCAAAGGUCUUGUACCCUUAUAAAGCCACUAGUUGCAGCUCUGAAGAAGUUGAAAAUUUCAGAUAAGGAGGUGGUGAAAGUAGCGUGGAAUUUUGUGAAUGAUUGGUAGUUGUUUUUUUCUUUCACUCUUGAUAUUUAUAGCUUAUCAUCACAUAUCAUGAUUUGUCACGAUUCAUGUGGCAUUAUAAUGUCAUUAUCAUUUUCCAAAAAAGAUAACUGAAACUUUUUGUGUUUUUCUCUUCUGAUUUUGGCUGUAAAUCUUUUUCUGUACGGAACAUUUAGGGUCCGCACGACGCUUUGCUUGCAGUACAAACCACAUUAUAUAGCCGCAGGUUCUCUGUACCUUGCUGUAAAAUUUCAGAAGAUGAAAAUGCCUUCAGAGAAUGGGAAUAUGUGGUGGAUGCAAUUUGAUAUUUCACCCAAAAAAUUGGAAGGUUAGUCAUUUAUUUGCCAAGAUAUCCUUUUCCCCUCGAUUUUACAUCUUGAAUCCUGAAAACAAUUUCAUUUUUUAGAUUCAUUUUAUUGGUUGCAACAUUAAUUACAUGGUCAGACUGCAAUGUAACUCUCAUCAUUCUCGCUUAGUUUAGACUCGUUUUUGGUUAACUCUACUGCGGAUGGUCAAUACAGAAGGAUGGGCUACAUGCUGAAUAUUCUUUGCAAACAAUAUUUUGUUCUCAUGGCUCUCGUUUAUCUAUAAUUCUGAUUCCCAUUCGUGAAGCAGCGUGAUCCCAUUAGAACCCGUCAGGCUAAGAGGUAUACCCAUUAACAUAAGUUGAUGUGGUUUCAAAAGAUAAGAUUUCAUUGCAUUGGGUCCAAAAAGGAUUCAUGUAGCCAGUCUAAGUUUAUUUGGGAUCCCUUCUUGUUGUAUAAGUCUGUAAUAACUCCUAUGGUGCCACCACCCACUUCACCCCCCAAUGCCACUCUUGAACUCCAACUCCAACUUGUUAUCUUGCUUUCAUUGUUGUAGCAUUGGUGGUUGGUACAAGAACAUUUAUCUUCAUUAUGUUCCUAACCUGCUUCUGUUUCUUGAUUGUGAUUCAACAGUGAUAUGCUGAUUGAAGCAUUUUUUAGGAAUUUUGUAUUAUUUCAUGUAUUAAUUUUUUUUCUCUUUCUUAUGUGGUCGUGCUGUUGACGUCUGCUCUUUUAAAUAAUUUCAAUGGGGUUCAAUGAUUUUCCAUUUGUUGAAGCUCUCAUUUAUAGUUCUAGUCAUAAAUUUUGCAGAGGUCAUUCAGCAUAUGCUUGGAUUGCUAGGGAAGAAUAACAAACAAGCAUUACAAUCCUCAUUUAGUGGGAAAUCAAAACAAAAGCCUAAAGAAGAAUCUAAUAGCGCAGAAUCAUGCAUUUCAAGCUACUCUAUCAUCAGGCAAGAUUCAAGCAAUAUAUCAUUGGCAAAUGCUGGAGCACUUCUGAAAUCUGCAACUGCCGUAGGCAAUCAGAAACAGCUGUGUGGUGAUGCUCUUGAUCCCAUAAGAAAUACCGAGCACCAUCAGAUCAGUGAGCCUGGUAGUGCAAAUAGUGUUGUUGAGGACUGCGACAAUGAGCUGAUAACAAGAGACUCUGGCCAGAAAUCUUCUUGUGCAAUUUCGUCAGUUGAAGAGAGUUAUCAGAAGAUUGAUAUAAAUAUGGCUCCAGGUAGCGCAGAAUCAUGCAUAUCAGGCGGUUCAGUGGGCAAAGUUUCACACAAGAUUCCAUUGGCAACUGUUGGAGUAAACUUGUCCACUUCUGCAAUUGCCAAUUGCAACCAGAAACUGCCACGUCCUGAUAUUACUGUGACAAAAACUGAGCGGUGCCGGGGUGGUGAUUCUCAUAGUGUAAAUAUUGUCAUUGAUGAUGGUGGUGACCUUGAGCCAAUAUCAGGAGACUCUGGUCAGAAAUCGGGUUUGAAGAUUGAUAUAAUUACAAUAAGAGAGAGAAUAAAGAGGAGGAAACUCGAAAGGAUAACAAGUAAGAAGCCCACAGAAACCAUGGACGAGGAGAUAGUAGAUGGUGA